UACGGGGGGGGCAAGCGUUGUUCGGAAUUACUGGGCGUAAAGGGCCAGUAGGCGGCCAACUAAGUCCGACGUGAAAGCCCGGGGCUUAACCCCGGGUCUGCAUUCGAUACGGGCAGGCUGGAGUGUGGUAGGGGAGAUCGGAAUUCCUGGUGUAGCGGUGAAAUGCGCAAAUAUCAGGAGGAACACCGGUGGCGAAGGCGGAUCUCUGGGCCAUUACUGACGCUGAGGAGCGAAAGCGUGGGGAGCGAACAGG
rnacentral:rRNA from 1 species